AUGAACGCUGGCGGCGUGCCUAAUACAUGCAAGUCGAGCGAACAGACGAGGAGCUUGCUCCUCUGACGUUCGCGGCGGACGGGUGAGUAACACGUGGAUAACCUACCUAUAAGACUGGGAUAACUUCGGGAAACCGGAGCUAAUACCGGAUAAUAUAUUGAACCGCAUGGUUCAAUAGUGAAAGACGGUUUUGCUGUCACUUAUAGAUGGAUCCGCGCCGCAUUAGCUAGUUGGUAAGGUAACGGCUUGCCAAGGCAACGAUGCGUAGCCGACCUGAGAGGGUGAUCGGCCACACUGGAACUGAGACACGGUCCAGACUCCUACGGGAGGCAGCAGUAGGGAAUCUUCCGCAAUGGGCGAAAGCUUGACGGAGCAACGCCGCGUGAGUGAUGAAGGUCUUCGGAUCGUAAAACUCUGUUAUUAGGGAAGAACAAAUGUGUAAGUAACUAUGCACGUCUUGACGGUACCUAAUCAGAAAGCCACGGCUAACUACGUG
rnacentral:rRNA from 1 species